UACGUAGGGUGCGAGCGUUGUCCGGAAUUAUUGGGCGUAAAGAGCUUGUAGGCGGUCUGUCGCGUCUGCUGUGAAAAUCCGGGGCUCAACCCCGGACUUGCAGUGGGUACGGGCAGACUAGAGUUCGGUAGGGGAGACUGGAAUUCCUGGUGUAGCGGUGAAAUGCGCAGAUAUCAGGAGGAACACCAAUGGCGAAGGCAGCUUGCUGGGACGGUACUGACGCUGAGGCGCGAAAGCGUGGGGAGCAAACAGG
rnacentral:rRNA from 1 species